ACUGAGCUGAAAUGAACUACAACGACAGCCAUCCUCAUCUAGUGUGGACCUACCGGAUGAGUCUUAAAUUAGUCUUUAACCAAGAUUCAAUCUUUGAUACACCUAGAAAACAUAAACUAAGAGAAAAGUUAAAAAAACAGGAACUUUAUUUUAAAAAAAUGUAAAAAAAUUAAAUCAUUACAGCAAAGAGUUAGACGUCUUUAAAACAGGAACUUUCCCUUCAGAGGAAUCAUCAAUUAUUUAAAAACGCAAUUUUCAUUGAUACAGAUUUAUAUAAUUCAUUAAAUCAAAACAUGGCUGCAAUAGAUUUAUUUAACAAUUUGAAGCAAAAAAGGAGAAAAAAUAU
rnacentral:misc_RNA from 1 species